CUCGUAGGCGGUUCGUCGCGUCCGGUGUGAAAGUCCAUCGCUUAACGGUGGAUCCGCGCCGGGUACGGGCGGGCUUGAGUGCGGUAGGGGAGACUGGAAUUCCCGGUGUAACGGUGGAAUGUGUAGAUAUCGGGAAGAACACCAGUGGCGAAGGCGGCUUACUGGACGGUAACUGACGUUGAGGCUCGAAAGCGUGGGGAGCAAACA
rnacentral:rRNA from 1 species